rnacentral:rRNA from 1 species
CGUAAACAGAGGGAAGCGAGCCUGCGAGGGGGAGCGAAUCCCAAAAAUAACGUCCCAGUUCGGAUUGUAGUCUGCAACCCGACUACAUGGAGCUGGAAUCGCUAGUAAUCGCGGAUCAGAAUGCCGCGGUGAAUACGUUCCCGGGUCUUGUACACACCGCCCGUCACACCAUGGGAGCCGGUAACGCCCGAAGUCAGUGACCCAACCGAGAGGAGGGAGCUGCCGAAGGCGGGACAGGUAACUGGGGUGAAGUCGUAACAAGGUAUC